rnacentral:rRNA from 1 species
CCUACGGGAGGCAGCAGUCGAGAAUCAUUCACAAUGGGGGAAACCCUGAUGGUGCGACGCCGCGUGGGGGAAUGAAGGUCUUCGGAUUGUAAACCCCUGUCAUGUGGGAGCAAAGUAAAAAGAUAGUACCACAAGAGGAAGAGACGGCGAACUCUGUGCCAGCAGCCGCGGUAAGACAGAGGGCUCAAGCGUUGUUCGGAAGCACUGGGCGUAAAGCGUGCGGAGGCUGUUUCGUAAGUCGUGUGUGAAAGGCGCGGGCUCCACCCGCGGACGGCACAUGAUACUGCGAGACUAGAGUAAUGGAGGGGGAACCGGCAUUCUCGGUGUCGCCGU